GUAAAAAUGUGAAAAUGGCAACUCAUUUUAUAAAGAUAAGCUAUUUGUACUUGAUAUGACCUUAACAAAAUUUAAAAUACAAUCACUGACUGAACUGAAUCUAAGGGGGUGAUAUUUAAAAAAUGCAUUAGAUUAAUUUAACAAUCAAGAAUAAUUGGUAACACUUCAGUAUAAGGAACCAUUCUCACUAUUAACUAGUUGCUUAUUAGCAUGCCUAUUUACAUAUUGGCUGUUUAUUAUUGCUUAUAAAGUACAUAUUCUGCAUGAGCAUAUUCUACAUCCCUAAUCCUAUCCAAUACUGAAACUUAACAACUACUUUACUAACUAUUAUUAAACAGUAAUUAGGAGUUUAUUGAGGCAAAAGCCAUAGAUAAUAGUGAGAAUUGGACCUUAAAAUAAAGUGUAUCUUUACUAAUUAUAUAAUUAAUUAGGUUUUUGAAUGAGUCUUGAUUAUGGGCAACAAAUUGAACAAUUUUCCUGAACAAAAAAUACUGCAUUUAAACACAGUAGCAUAACAUUUUAUACAUUAAUAUUUUUCUGUUUAGUGAUUUGAAUCAGUGAAUUCUGAACAUAAAUGUGACCCUGGAACACCAGUCUUAAGUCUAAAAUUUUUCGAAAUUGAGAUUUAUACAUCAUCUGAAACUGAAUAGAUAAUCUUUCCAUUGAUGUAUGGUUUGUUAUGAUCGGACAAUAUUUGCUCGAGAUACAACUAUUUGAAAAUCUGGAAUCUGAGGGUACAAAAACAUCAAAAUAUUGGGAAAAUCACCUUUAAAUUUGUCCAAAUGAAUUCUUAGAUAUGCAUAUUACUAAUCAAAAAUUAAGUUUUGAUAUAUUUACUGUAGGAAAUUUACAAAAUAUCUUCAUGGAACAUGAUCUUUACUUAAUAUCCUAAUGAUUUUUGGCAUUAAAGAAAAAUCUAUAAUUUUGACCCAUACAAUUUAUUUUUGGCUAUUAUUACAAAUAUACCCCAGAGACUUAAGACUGCUUUUGUGCUCCAGGGUCCCAAAUAAUCUAAACGAACCGACACACUAAAACCCUGUCAGUCAUGAAAAAGUAGCUCGUAACUUUUCUGAAAACAGCAGAGCUGCUGUCACAUUUCUGACAAAAAAAUAAAAUAAAUAAAAGUUCAAAUGAAUCAAUUAGUCAAAUUAAUAACAUUGCUUCUGAAGAACAAGGCUUUAAAUAAUAAUAAUAAUAAUUAUAGAUAUUUAUGGGCUGAGGCACCAGUUAUUAAACAGACAAAGGAAUAAAUGUUUAAGUGAGAAAUCUGUCUUUCUCACACGCCCAGAUAUGAAGCGGCACCAGAGUAAUCCUGCAGUUUAAUCUCUGAUGGUUAGUCAGCGGUGCCGUCUGCAGUAAACGCUCGUCUGAAGGGUGGAUUUGGGAUUAAAAUGCACUGGGAACUGGAUAUGACUCAAUUAAACUGAGUCUCAGAACCGAACCGUUCAAACACGACCGCCAGCUCCUCAAAGCUGGGAGGCUCCAGGACUGUUCUGAUGUCUUACUAUUUCUCUGUGUGAUCUUUUCUAAGCUUCAUACACCUUCUCUGAACCACAUGAAGCUUUUGGUUGGGUUGGGUUGGUAUUGUUAGGAAAGAAGUAUUUUAUUUAUUAUUAUUUUUUUUUAUUUUUUUUUUUGGUUAACAUUGAUAACUUUCUUCUACGUGUGUUAAAAUAAAAAAAACAUUUUACAUUUUGCAUGCGUGUUCAUUAGUGCUAACUUAUCCAUCAAACAUAAACUGGGGAAAAAAUGGCUACAAAGUAGUUUAUCAAAUUCUGUUUUAUCACUGCUUUCUAAAGUACUCCUGAUGGACCCACACAAAUAGACAUAUAGACUAUCAAAAAUAAAUAAAUGAUAAUAAAACAAAUGAAGACAUACAUUUAUCACCAUCAUGAGAGUGAUUCAGACCACACACACACUGCCUGUUGGGCACUGUACAUUUCAGCUUAACUUUACUUUAGAAAAAUCUAUAGCCUCAGACUUUUUCAGUAAAGUUAACCUACAGUACUUAAAAUCACUGUUUUUGUAGAAUUGUUACUGUUUUUUUAUUUUUUAAUUUAGCUAAUUUUCUUUUUAUUUUGAUUUUAAAUUUUGAGUUUAUAAUUACUCGCUUGACACUAAUUUACAUAAACUUAUGUUCAGUGUAAAACUUGGCUGUACAAGUCAUUUCAACUCUUUACCCUUUCUUUCUUUUUCUAAAUAUUGUCUAGCUGAAUCUUAUUUAACUUUAAAUAACUUAAAAUAAGCCGAUAUUUGUUAUAUUGUAUCAAAGUAAUGGGUGAAAAGAUAUGUUAUGGUACCAUGACUUUCGUACAGUGUGCUCGAAGAUUAACUGAAGAAACCUCUGUUGGGAAAUAUUCAGCCAUUAUCAGGGUUCAGUUAGUUUUGAGAAAUGUACCUCAACUGCAGAAUUUUUAAGAAUAAAUUCUGCAAAUGCAUAUUAAUAUGGCAGAAACAGUAUUAUGCAAUUCCAAAUUCAGACACCAUGUGUAUGAAAUGUUUUAUAAAAAUCAUUCUUUCACAGUAAAAGUCAUGAUGAUGAUGCACUUCUGUAGACCAAACUGUACAUCAUCAUCACUCUCGACAAUUUUUUUAUUUUAAUUUUUUAUUUUUACCUGUGGCUUUUGGAUUAUUGCAGUAAAUAUGCUUUGUGACUAACCAAAGUUUAUGAUUUUUACACGUUUGUUAUAAGUUUUCACACAUGAACAAAACUUUUAUGAAUUUUGAAGGCUAUAAAUUUGCUGGCUAAUGCUAAACAUAAAUUCAGUAAGAUUGUUAUUCACAUUGGCACUAAUCAUUUCCAGGUUUUCCAGUCAGGAUUUAGACCAUAUCAUAGGACUGAGACUGCUCUCAUUAGAGUUACAAAUGACCUGCUCUUAUCAUCUGAUCGUGGUUGUAUCUCUCUAUUAGUGCUACUGGAUCAUAAUAUAUUUGACACUGUCUAGCUAUCUGCUUUUCAAACUUAAAGGCAUUUUAAACUUUUGAACUAACUUUCAGAACCUUGUCUGAAAACAUUUAAGUUGGAGUAACUUUGCUUUUCUAGUCCAGAUACAGAUUGUGAUGUUUAGAGCCCCAAUAAUAACAUGACUUGAGCAAAAAGAAGAAAAAUCUCACUUCACAGACUGACCACUAAGCGGCGCUGUUCCAUUAGAUAAAGACAGCAAACCAUCAAACCUGCAGCACUGCAACCUUCUGAGAGUGAGUGCAUUUGUUUAGCUGUACUUCAGAAGAGCUGAAUCUGACAGACGCUCAGGUUGAUGUGAAAGUGUGUUUCUUUCCUGCUGGUUAUACAGGAUGAGGGUUACACACACACACUCACACACACACACACACACACACACACACACACACACACACACACACACACACACACACACUCAAGAACCUGAUCAUUCCAUCUUUUCAUUCCACACACCUGCUAUCAGAAACUGCACAAGUUUGUGUGAGAAUGCUGUCAGAUGAGAUUUUCAUACUGUACUGUUUCAUAAUGUCCCUGUGCUGUUGAUUUGGCAAUUCUUUUAAGAGAGAGAGAGAUGUAGCGUCUCACUUGGGACCCACCACCAGCAGGAAACAUGCACAAGCUCCUGUUGUUAAGGCAGUUUCAUACUGAACGAAUCGCUUUUCGAAUUCUUACAGACAGUAGUUUUAUGUGAAUUCCUCUGAUAGAAGUGACUUUUAGAUAGAGAUGGACGCUUUUGAAACUGCUUUGAAGCACCUUUGUGAAUCUUUUGUUUGGAAUCAGUGAUUCAGAGCGAAUAUCCAACUUCAGUAAAUGAGGCGUUGUUGCAUGGUUUGUGAAAUUUAGGUUAGUUUUUUUUUUUUUUUGUAGACAUCCUGUUUUAUGUUGUUGGUUUUCAUGUUAUGUAUUUAUAUGUAAUCACUUCACAAUUCAUUUUGUAACCGUUUUCCAGCAUAAAAUAAAUAAAUAAUAAAUCAAUCAAUCAAUCAAUGGUAGGCCAUUACUGGGCAAUCUCUGUGAAACCAUGAACCAGUGUCUAUUUGGGUUUUUACUUAAUUCAGCUGAUAUUAUUUACAACAGUUAUAAUGAACUAUCAAGAGAACAGUCUCCAGGUGAGGUUCUGCUCGAUCUCGUCUUCCAUGCACAUUCAUCUCAGGAUCUGACAGGAGCAGUUCUGCAUCCAUAUGGCACACAAGGACUUGUGUGUGUGAGAAAGAGAGAGAGAGAGAACAGAUUGUUGUGGGACCUUCAGUCCUGCCCUGUGAACCUGAUGCCACAAUCACCAGCAGGAGAGCAAAAGCAACACACUCUCACACAGCUGUUAAACACACACACACACACACACACACACACACACACACACCAAAAUUAACUUCUGACACAUCUGCAAAUGGCUGGAAUUACAGUUAUUCAUUUAGAGACAUUUAGUGACUUACCGAUGAGGACAAAAUGAUGUCACUCGCAACUGGUGAUAUACUGUAAUUGAAUGAACAUUUAUGUGUAAAAUAUACAAAAUACAGCUUUAUGGCUAGAAACUAUUUGAUAGGACACACAACACUGUUUUUCAGUAAGAUAUGUUUUUGAAAGAAGUCUCUUUUCUGCUUAUUAAGGAAAUAGAAAUAUCUGGGGUCAAUAUUUUUUUAUUUUUUU
ensembl:lncRNA